UUACAUACCUGGACGGGGUCGAAUGGGUGAUCAAGAAGGCCCAUGGCCUAGGUGGGUGGCCUCCAUUGCACUUAGGAGGUGCACUCGCCUAACAUCUCCCUUCGUGGAGAUUGUACGUCGUAAUUUGUGGUAAUGGGGCUGUGUACGCGCGGCCCCUC
rnacentral:snRNA from 1 species